GCUCAGUGUCUGCUGGGAAGACUGUGGGGUAAAAACAAUAAAGGAAAAGUGCUUCUGGGGUGUGAGAGGAAGGAAAACUCCUACUGUGUUUCCUCCCGGCCUCUGAGGAUAUCCCAAUAUAUCAAUACAGAUAGUGCCCACAUCAAUAUUCUUCUGUAAAAAGUUGGAGUGCCACAUCUACCCAGGUUUUAUCCAUGGGCUUAAUCUGGGCUUGGUUGGCUGGGCAGUGGCACUGCUCUUCUUAGAGAAGGAGGCGCACAUAUCCUUUGCAGGUUCAGAGCCAAAGCUGAUGGGUCUGUAAUUGCAUCACUUCCUUGCACAGUUGAAUUUACCACUUGGCAAAAUGGCCUGAGAUGAUGUAAGCUGCUUUGUUAAUAAGACAUAACCCUCCCUUUUCUCUCAUACCCUCUUGAAUUCUGCUCCAGGGAUGAAUGAGUUCAUCCUAGAUAAUCUCAGCAAUGAGAUCUGGUUGCUUAACUCUUCUUGGAAAGACAGCAUGGAGGCCUGAGAGUGGUAACAAAUCCAGAUGUGACACUUCUCUGUGUAUUUUGCUGAAUUAUGUGGAACAAGCUGAAGACAAACACAGGAGACUGUACCCAGUUAAAGUGUAUGCCGUGGUAUCCCGGGUGAACUGAAAUUGCCAGUGAACUGAUUUGCCACUUCAAGCAGCUGUGACAGUUUAUGCUGAAUCAUGCCCUGGGCAGAGCCAGUUCAGAGACCCUGUGUUGUCUAUUAUCAUUUGUCUUGGAGACUCAUCUUUCUUAGCAUGUUACGCAAGCUGAGCAAGAUGUUAUUCUGGUCAGCAAUCAGCCUCUUUUACUUCCAAUGAGGUCAGUACAAGUCCCCUAAGGAUGAGACUGUAGUAUUAUUUGAGAUAGGGUU
rnacentral:lncRNA from 1 species